AGAGCACUGUUUCGGCUAGGGGGCUCACAAGAGUUUACCAAACCGAUGCAAACUCCGAAUACCUGGAAGUGCAAUCACGGGAGACACACGGCGGGUGCUAACGUCCGUCGUGGAGAGGGAAACAACCCAGACCGCCAGCUAAGGUCCCCAAAUAUUGCUAAGUGGGAAACGAUGUGGGAAGGCAUAGACAGCUAGGAGGUUGGCUUAGAAGCAGCCACCCUUUAAAGAAAGCGUAAUAGCUCACUGGUCGAGUCGGCCUGCGCGGAAGAUAUAACGGGGCUAAGCGAUGUGCCGAAGCUGCGGAUGCGAUUUAUCGCAUGGUAGAGGAGCGUUCUGUAAGCCUGUGAAGGUGGAUUGUAAGGUCUGCUGGAGGUAUCAGAAGUGCGAAUGCUGACGUGAGUAACGAUAAUGCGGGUGAAAAACCCGCACGCCGAAAACCCAAGGUUUCCUGCGCAACGCUAAUCGGCGCAGGGUGAGUCGGCCCCUAAGGCGAGGGCGAAAGCCGUAGUCGAUGGGAAGCAGGUUAAUAUUCCUGCACUUUUGAUAACUGCGAUGGGGUGACGAAGAAGGUUAGGUAGGCCUGGCGUUGGUUGUCCAGGUUCAAGCGUGUAGGCUGAUCCCUUAGGCAAAUCCGGGGGAUCAAGGCCGAGACGUGACGUCGAGCUCUCUUUUGAGCGAAGCUAUUGAUACCACGCUUCCAGGAAAAGCCUCUAAGCUUCAGGUUAUCGAAAACCGUACCCCAAACCGACACAGGUGGGUGGGAUGAGAAUUCUAAGGCGUUUGAGACAACUCGGGUGAAGGAACUCGGCAAAAUAGUACCGUAACUUCGGGAGAAGGUACGCCGGCUAGGGUGAAGGACUUGCUCCGUAAGCCCCGGCCGGUCGAAGAUACCAGUUGGCUGCGACUGUUUAUUAAAAACACAGCACUGUGCAAACACGAAAGUGGACGUAUACGGUGUGACGCCUGCCCGGUGCCGGAAGGUUAAUUGAUGGGGU
rnacentral:rRNA from 14 species